UGGGGAAAGGUAUCAGCGUGAAAGCAGUUAAAGCAGAGAGACAAAAGUCGUGUACAUUAACUUGAUUCAUGAGAAACUCCUAAGCGAGUCAGCCAGUAAGGGUGUUCGUUUUAUCCAGCUAUAUACAUCUGAACAGGUUGUUGUAAAACACGAUAAGUCAUGCUAGGUAUUCAUGUGUAUACUACUGUAGCUUAAAUGAGCGAAAAACCUGAAUGUUGCUGGCUAAAUAUGUGUGGGUGCUUAAGUAGGGAAUAUAAUCAGAGGAGGGACAAAGAGGGAAAAAUAUAAGGUAUCAGUUAGGUCAUCUGAUUAUGUAGCUUAGUAGGUGUAAAUAAACAAGUAAUGAGUAUAAUUUACAAAGUAUAAUGUAUAGAGAGAGUUCUCACAUUAUGUACUCAGGCAUGAACUGUAGGUG